CGUUUUUUGUGUAUUAUAUAAAAUCGGGCCUGCUCUAUGAUAAAUUAAAUGGCUGCAGUAUAUUGACUGUACUAAGGUAGCAUAAUCAUUAGUUUUUUAAAUGGGAACUGGAAUGAAGGGUUUGACAAGAUAGAAGCUUUUUUGUUUUUAUUAUUAAAAUUUUAUUAUUAAGUUAAAAAGCUUAAAUAAGUAUAAGGGACGAGAAGACCCUAUAGAGUUUAAUUAUUAAUUUAUUAAAAUAAAUUUGUCGUUUUAAUUUUAGUAAGUCGAUAAUUUGAUUGGGGUGAUUAAUAAAUUUAGUAAACUUUUUUUUAUAAUAACAUUUAUUUAUGAAUUUUUGAUCCAUGAAUUGAUUAAAAGAUUAAAUUACCUUAGGGAUAACAGCGUAAUAAUACUUUAGAGUUCAAAUCAAGAGUAUUGUUUGCGACCUCGAUGUUGGAUUAAAUUUUAUUUUUAAUGUAGAAGUUAAAAUAAUUUAGUCUGUUCGACUAUUAAAAAUUUACAUGAUCUGAGUUUAAACCGGUGUGAGCCAGGUUGGUUUCUAUCUUUAUAAAACGUUAAUAGUUUAGUACGAAAGGACCAAUUAUUAGUAAUAUUUAUUUUAUUAUGAAUA
rnacentral:rRNA from 1 species